ensembl:lncRNA
GUAAUAGUGGUAAUAAUAGUAGUAGUAAUAGGAGUAGAGGAGGAGGAGGAGGAAUAGUGGUAAUAAUAGUAGUAGUAAUAGGAGGAGGAGGAGGAGGAAUAGUGGUAAUAGUAGUAGUAAUAGGAGGAGGAGGAGGAAUAGUGGUAAUAAUAGUAGUAGUAAUAGGAGGAGGAGGAGGAGUAAUAGUAGUAGUAAUAGGAGGAGAGGAGGAGUAAUAGUAGUAAUAAUAGUAGUAAUAGGAGGAGGAGGAGUAAUAGUGGUAAUAGUAGUAGUAGUAAUAGGAGGAGGAGGAGGAGGAGUAAUAGUGGUAAUAAUAGUAGUAGUAAUAGGAGGAGGAGGAGUAAUAGUGGUAAUAAUAGUAUCAGUAAUAGGAGGAGGAGGAAUAGUGG